AUUGAACGCUGGCGGAAUGCUUUACACAUGCAAGUCGAACGGUAGCACGGACUUCGGUCUGGUGGCGAGUGGCGAACGGGUGAGUAAUGUAUCGGAACGUGCCCAGUCGUGGGGGAUAACGUAGUGAAAAUUACGCUAAUACCGCAUACGAUCUAUGGAUGAAAGCGGGGGAUCGCAAGACCUCGCGCGAUUGGAGCGGCCGAUAUCAGAUUAGGUAGUUGGGGGGGUAAAGGCCCACCAAGCCAACGGUCUGUAGCUGGUCUGAGAGGACGACCAGCCACACUGGAACUGAGACACGGUCCAGACUCCUACGGGAGGCAGCAGUGGGGAAUUUUGGACAAUGGGCGAAAGCCUGAUCCAGCCAUUCCGCGUGCAGGAUGAAGGCCCUCGGGUUGUAAACUGCUUUUGUACAGAACGAAAAGGUUUCUACUAAUACUAGGAGCUCAUGACGGUACUGUAAGAAUAAGCACCGGCUAACUACGUGCCAGCCGCCGCCGUAA
rnacentral:rRNA from 1 species